CACACACACACACACGCAUACAUACAGCAGCAGCAGCAGCAGUAGCGACAGGGAAGAUGGAGGACAGGGUGGUGGUGGUGAUGGUGGAGCAGACCUCCAGCCCGCAGCAGCAGCAGCAUCAUCCCCGCUGAUGGUCGCAGACUCUGAGCGCAAAGGGUCGUGUGCUGAUGAAGUUCUUCACUGUUGAUCCGACCACAACCCGACAGCCAUGAACUCCCAGGAGAUGGAGCUUGGUCAGGUGGUCAUGGAGGAAGAUGACACCCCUCCUCGCCAUCGCCACAGCAGUCAGUCUCGUACCCACGGCAACCAGGACAGAAGGCACAGACGUGACGCCCCGGGCGGAGGAAGUGUCAGUGGCAGAGCAAGGGCGCCGCAAGGGUGUCGCCCACAGGAGGAGCAAGAUACUGAGCUGCAAUACGGAGCUCCGCCUCCACAGGCCCAGCAGCAGCAGCAGCAGCAGCAGCAGCAGCCCAUCCCACGGCCUGCGGUGACCCGCUAUCGAAGGCAGGGGGACAGCGAGGCCCGGAUCCGAGUGCAGCAGCAGAGACACAGGCAGCGGCAGCAGAGAGAGGCGGAGAGAGCACAACAUUCAACACAACAACACAAAAAACACCCGGAGGUGGAAGAUGAACGAGAGAGGGACGAUUCAGCGCUGGCCCGCUCAGCCAGCACUGAGAGCGGCUUCCACACCCACAGUGACCGGGCCGAGGGGGACGACGGUCUGGUCCUGAUGUCUCUGGAGCCUGAGACGCAGCCAGAGGUGGAGGAUGAAACGGGGAACUACGGAGUCCAGCUGCGGCCCGAAGCCGAGGGAUACACCGAGAGUGCCGAGGCCGAGCAGCAGCAUCUCCACUCGCAUCCUUACUGCGCUCCUCGGCCGUUACCACGGGAACCCCCGCCCGACGUCCACCACGCCCAGAGACAGGACGACACGGAGGAGAGCCUGAACACGGGAUACUCCAAUUAUGUCUACACUGAGCCCCUGUGCCGUGCUCGAGGACGGCCGGAGAGUCUGGUCCCUCACAGCUCAGAGGGUCUGGAUUCUGGACUCGUGGAUGAAGCUUAUUCUGAGCCGUAUGACAUUUACUCCAUGUCUGAGCAUGUUUACGAGGAGAUCUGUGACGCUCCACCUUCAGGUUCCUCUGCUGCAGACGGAUCAGGAGACGCAGAGUCUCUUCAGCAGAAGAGGGCCGGCUUCCGGCUGCUGGAGGGCCAGGCUGUGGGUGGAGACUACCAUCAGCAGGAGGCCGUGGGCUCCCGUCUGCGGCACUACGACGAGCGCUCUGACGGCGAGUCAGACAGCCCGGAGAAGGAGGCGGAGUUUGCCCCCUACCCGCGCGCCGACAGCUGCGAGCAGGAGGAGGACAUCGACAGCAUCGUCGCUGAGGUGAAAGAAAGUAUAAGUUCUCAGAGUCUUCAUCAUACGUCAGAAGACACGAUAGACGAAGAAGACAAUCUGCCACAGGAAGAAGAAAAAACCUGUGAGGGAGACGUUAACCGAGCGAAGCCUGCGAGAAACCAGGCUGUCAGUCCUUCAGAGGAGCUCGCAGUGAUGAGGAACAGCCAGGAGAAGAGGGACGCCAUCUCUCUGGCCAUCAAGGAUAUUAAGGAGGCUAUAGAGGAGGUGAAGACCAGAACAGUGAGGUCUCCUUACACGCCUGAUGAGCCCAAGGAGCCUAUCUGGGUUAUGAGGCAGGACCUGAGUCCCACUGCUGAAUGUGACCUUCCACCAUCGCUAGGAGGAGAUUCUCCUGGUUCCGGGUCUCCCUCUCCUCUCGGAGCAGAGUCGUCCAGCAGACAUCUGCUGCAGGAGGACAGCGUGGAAUCUUCUCCCUCCAGUAAAGAGUCCAGGAGAAGUCUGGCGUCUUUCCCCACAUAUGUAGAAGUCCCAGGUCCAUGUGACCCUGAGGACCUGAUCGAUGGAAUCAUCUUCGCAGCAAACUACCUGGGCUCCACUCAGCUGCUGUCGGAUAAAACUCCGUCUAAGAAUGUUCGUAUGAUGCAGGCGCAGGAGGCCGUCAGCCGCAUCAAGACUGCGCAGAAGUUAGCCCAGACCAAGAAAAAGGCGUCUGAAGGUGACCCUCAGCCCAUGACUGAGGUGGAUCUCUUCAUCUCCACUCAGAGAAUCAAAGUGCUCAACGCUGACUCUCAGGAGACCAUGAUGGAUCACCCUCUGAGGACCAUCUCCUACAUCGCUGACAUUGGCAACAUCGUGGUUCUGAUGGCGCGGCGCAGGAUGCCUCGGGCCGACUCUCAGGAGGAUCUGGAAGCCUCAGACCCGGGACAAGAGAACAAGCGUCAGUACAAGAUGAUCUGCCACGUGUUUGAGUCUGAGGAUGCUCAGCUCAUCGCUCAGUCCAUCGGACAGGCCUUCAGCGUGGCCUACCAGGAGUUCUUACGAGCCAACGGAAUCAACCCCGAGGACCUGAGCCAGAAGGAGUACAGUGACCUGCUCAACACUCAGGACAUGUACAACGACGACCUCAUCCACUUCUCCAAGUCUGAGAACUGCAAAGAUGUGUUCGUUGAGAAAGCGAAGGGAGAGAUUCUGGGUGUGGUCAUCGUGGAGAGUGGGUGGGGCUCCAUCUUACCCACUGUCAUCAUCGCCAACAUGAUGCAUGCUGGGCCGGCGGAGAGGUCGGGCAGACUGAACAUCGGAGACCAGAUCAUGUCCAUCAACGGGACCAGUCUGGUGGGACUGCCGCUGUCCACCUGCCAGAGCAUCAUCAAGGGUCUGAAGAACCAGCCUCGGAUCAGUCUGAACAUCGUCAGGUGUCCCCCGGUGACCACAGUUCUCAUCAGACGACCCGACCUGCGCUACCAGCUGGGCUUCAGCGUUCAGAACGGCAUCAUCUGCAGUCUGAUGCGCGGUGGCAUCGCCGAGCGAGGCGGCGUGAGAGUCGGUCAUCGCAUCAUCGAAAUCAACAGCCAGAGCGUGGUGGCCACGCCCCACGAGAAGAUCGUCCACAUCUUAUCCAACGCUGUGGGAGAGAUCCACAUGAAGACGAUGCCUGCAGCCAUGUACCGCCUGCUCACCGCUCAGGAGCAGCCUGUUUACAUUUAACCAGACCUCACACUUCCUGCACUCAACUGUCACUCAAUCCCCAAACCCGCCUCAUCUGCUCCGCCCGCUCCUCCACCUACAGCCCUUCUUCCACAGCUGGUGUGAUGGACGGACGGAUAGAAGCUGUUUAUUGGAUGUUUCUGUUGCUCAGUGGCAGUGUAGUGUAUUCACUUUAAAGGUCCAAUAUGUAAUAUUUUUGCUCCACUGGUCGUCGCUAUGACAACUGGUGUCGAGUUUAAAGGCAGAAAUGAAAUAUACUACGUGGUUCAAUUAAAACUCCUCUGACAUUUAUCUGACAUAGACAUCAUUCUGAUGCAUAAUCUAACGUGUGAUAAUCUGCUGGUAAAAGGACAUGAUGACAGGAAAUGUCCAUCUAUUGGUUGCAAUCUGCAGUCUCACCAUUAGAUGUCACUAAUUAUUCCACAGUGGACCUCUCUGCAGUACUACACACACAUUUUGAGAAAAAAGUUGCAGAUUUAUGAGAUUUAACGCAGCAAAUCUGCGACUUUUUUCCUCCCCAGCGGCUGUAUUUUGUUUUUUUUCAUACUUGGCGCUAAUACACUGUCGGAAAAUGUUGCGUACUGGACCUUUAAAAGAUUUAUUUCUCACUUUGGCUUCAGUUUGCUCAUCACAGGUCAUCACAGGUCAUCACAGGUCAUCACAGCUUAUCACAGGCCAUCACAGGUAAUCACAGGUCACAGCUUAUCACAGGCCAUCACAGGUAAUCACAGGUCACAGCUUAUCACAGGCCAUCACAGGUCACAGGUCAUCACAUCUUAUCACAGGUCAUCACAGCUUAUCGCAGGUCACAGGUCAUCACAGGUCACAGGUCACCACAUCUUAUCACAGGUCA